rnacentral:rRNA from 1 species
UACAGGGGGUGCAAACGUUGCUCGGAAUCAUUGGGCGUAAAGCGCACGUAGGCGGUUCGUUAUGUCGGAUGUGAAAGCCCUUGGCUUAACCGAGGAAGUGCAUCCGAAACUGGCGAGCUAGAGUACUAAAGAGGAUCGCGGAAUUCCCGGUGUAGAGGUGAAAUUCGUAGAUAUCGGGAGGAACACCAGUGGCGAAGGCGGCGAUCUGGGAAGAUACUGACGCUCAGGCACGAAAGCGUGGGGAGCAAACAGG